AUACGUAGGGUGCGAGCGUUAAUCGGAAUUACUGGGCGUAAAGCGUGCGCAGGCGGUUUUGUAAGACAGUGGUGAAAUCCCCGGGCUCAACCUGGGAACUGCCAUUGUGAAUGCAAGGCUGGAGUGCGGCAGAGGGGGAUGGAAUUCCGCGUGUAGCAGGGAAAUGCGUAGAUAUGCGGAGGAACACCGAUGGCGAAGGCAAUCCCCUGGGCCUGCACUGACGCUCAUGCACGAAAGCGUGGGGAGCAAACAGGAUUAGAUACCCUGGUAGUCCACGCCCUAAACGAUGUCAACUGGUUGUUGGGAAUUUAUUUUCUCAGUAACGAAGCUAACGCGUGAAGUUGACCGCCUGGGGAGUACGGCCGCAAGGUUAAAACUCAAAUGAAUUGACGGGG
rnacentral:rRNA from 1 species